GGAUUAGCGGCGAACGGGUGAGGAACACGUGAGGAAUCUGCCUUCAACACUGGGAUAACUCCGGGAAACCGGGGCUAAUACCGGAUACGAGACCUGCAGGCAUCUGCGGGUCUGGAAAGUUUUUCGGUUGAAGAUGACCUCGCGGCCUAUCAGCUUGUUGGUGAGGUAAUGGCUCACCAAGGCGACGACGGGUAGCCGGCCUGAGAGGGCGACCGGCCACACUGGGACUGAGACACGGCCCAGACUCCUACGGGAGGCAGCAGUGGGGAAUAUUGGGCAAUGGAGGGAACUCUGACCCAGCGACGCCGCGUGCGGGAUGAAGGCCUUCGGGUUGUAAACCGCUUUCAGCAAGGAAGAAGCGAAAGUGACGGUACUUGCAGAAGAAGCACCGGCUAACUAUGUGCCAGCAGCCGCGGUAAUACAUAGGGUGCAAGCGUUGUCCGGAAUUAUUGGGCGUAAAGAGCUCGU
rnacentral:rRNA from 1 species